GAGUCUCUCUCUGUCACCCAGGCUGGAGUGCAGUGGCGCGAUCUCAGCUCACUGCAAGCUCCGCCUCCCAGGUUCACGCCAUUCUCCUGCCUCAGCCUCCCGAGUAGCUGGGACUACAGGCGCCCGCCACUACGCCCGGCUAAUUUUUUGUAUUUUUAGUAGAGACGGGGUUUCACUGUGUUAGCCAGGAUGGUCUCGAUCUCCUGACCUCAUGA
rnacentral:lncRNA from 10 species